UACGUAGGGUGCGAGCGUUGUCCGGAAUUAUUGGGCGUAAAGAGCUCGUAGGCGGUGUGUCACGUCGAUCGUGAAAACUUACAGCUUAACUGUGAGCGUGCGGUCGAUACGGGCAUCACUGGAGUUCGGCAGGGGAGACUGGAAUUCCUGGUGUAGCGGUGAAAUGCGCAGAUAUCAGGAGGAACACCGGUGGCGAAGGCGGGUCUCUGGGCCGAUACUGACGCUGGGGAGCGAAAGCGUGGGGAGCGAACAGG
rnacentral:rRNA from 1 species